rnacentral:rRNA from 1 species
AGUGAACGCUGGCGGUAGGCCUAACACAUGCAAGUCGAACGGCAGCACAGUAAGAGCUUGCUCUUACGGGUGGCGAGUGGCGGACGGGUGAGGAAUACAUCGGAAUCUACUUUUUCGUGGGGGAUAACGUAGGGAAACUUACGCUAAUACCGCAUACGACCUACGGGUGAAAGCAGGGGAUCUUCGGACCUUGCGCGAUUGAAUGAGCCGAUGUCGGAUUAGCUAGUUGGCGGGGUAAAGGCCCACCAAGGCGACGAUCCGUAGCUGGUCUGAGAGGAUGAUCAGCCACACUGGAACUGAGCCACGGUCCAGACUCCUACGGGAGGCAGCAGUGGGGAAUAUUGGACAAUGGGCGCAAGCCUGAUCCAGCCAUACCGCGUGGGUGAAGAAGGCCUUCGGGUUGUAAAGCCCUUUUGUUGGGAAAGAAAAGCAGCAGGUUAAUACCCCGCCGUUCUGACGGUACCCAAAGAAUAAGCACCGGCUAACUUCGUG